AGAGAGUUGGAGUUUUUUGGUUGUCCUGUGAAGGAGUCAGUGCUAUGAGGAGUUGGCCAUGAGAAAUCACCCAGAAUGUAUGGGCUUUUGCAAUAAGAUGGCAACAGUUGGUGACCCUGACCUGGUUCUGACAUGAACCUGUGGUGGUUUGGGAAAAAGGACUUAAAUAUUAAGCAAUGUGAUCCCAAGGUGAUUCAGGAAGAUUACUGCAGGCCUAAGAGAAAUUACAGUGGAGUUAGGCAGACCAAGAGUCUGAGAGCCUAAAAAUCCAGAUGAGCUAUAGCCAGGCAGACCAGGGAGCCUAGAAGUCAGGACAAGGUAUGAGAUACCACCCCCAAGAAGAAGAGUGCUGGAUAUGAGGAGUGGACACUAUGCACUUUGCUUAGUUGGUGCAUUGGAUCAAGCCCCGUGCCCCCUGCCAAGGAAUGGCUGCAGUCCAGAGGGGACCCAGCAUGUGCAGAGUUCCCCCGGAAUGGCAGUCUUUUGUAUAACAGCAGGGAUUUGGGGUCUAGACCAACUCCUGUUGACUGUUUCUCCUCUGUUAAAAUGAGAGUCUCUGUCUCACCAAGGUGCUUUGAAGUUAAAUGGUUCCUAGGAAUCAGACCAAGCUGACAAUCAUGCCUGAAAAUCUGGGCAUGAGUUCAGAUGGGAGCCCUCACAGUGGACUUGAUGACUCUAAAAACAUUGCAAGGAUCGCUAUAAGGAUGCUGCAGGGUGGCUGUGACCUGCGGGUGAAUGAGAGAAUUCACGGUGGACAGCUGAUGACAGCCUCCUCCUCAGGCCCCUUAGAGGGAGCCCCUGCUCCACAGAUGCCCCGCUACAGACACUGGCAGAUCCGGGCUCUGCCCCGGGCUGCCCUCACAUACCCGCUAAAGAUCCAGAGUUGUUCAAUGGGCACCUCUGCCAGCUUGUCUGCCUUGCAAAAUCCUAAAGCACCUUACCUAACCAUCUCUGUUGAAAUAAAGAGGAGCAUGGAAGCUGUUUGUUCUUUGAAGCCUAUUACAGCAAUCUCUUUUUGUACUGGUGACUUCUGUGAGGUUGAUAUCUGGAAUCCAGACAAAGUGUUAAGCUUUUAAGAAGGUGUAAUUUGAGCACCUGCUAAGAGGGAUUGGGCCUGUGUGCUGCUGUGCCAUCCCAGCCUGUGGGCAGCAUUUGUUCACUGUGAUGUACUCCAAUGGUAUCCAGCAUCUAUCUGCUUAUUCAUUGCACACAAAUAAGCCAUUCCUGGAAGAACUGAAAGAGCAGUGGUUGGGCUGGCCCUUCCUGAUGAGGCACUCUGCUAAGUGUUCCUGCCAGUUUUUUGAUUUUUUACAAAGUCUAGGAGAAAUGGGUGUGCAUUCAUCAGUUCUAAAGCAGUAGAGGAGUACUCUGUUGUUUGAGGUUCUUCUUUAAGGGAUAUAUUUGUCUGCUUCCCCAUCAAAUGGAAAGGCUGGGUGUUGAAUAAAAAUUUCAUCAAUGUAGAA